GAUGAAGAACGUAGCGAAAUGCGAUAAGUAGUGUGAAUUGCAGAAUUCAGUGAAUCAUCGAAUCUUUGAACGCACAUUGCGCCCGCCAGUAUUCUGGCGGGCAUGCCUGUCUGAGCGUCAUUUCAACCCUCAUGCCCCUAGGGCGUGGUGUUGGGGAUCGGCCAAAGCCCGCGAGGGACGGCCGGCCCCUAAAUCUAGUGGCGGACCCGUCGUGGCCUCCUCUGCGAAGUAGUGAUAUUCCGCAUCGGAGAGCGAUGAGCCCCUGCCGUUAAACCCCCAACUCUCCAAGGUUGACCUCAGAUCAGGUAGGAAUACCCGCUGAACUUAAGCAUAUCAAUAAGCGGAGGA
rnacentral:misc_RNA from 1 species